rnacentral:lncRNA from 1 species
CGGAGUUCGCAAUAGGGUUCACGCUCCUAUGAGAAUCUAAUGCCACCGCUGAUCUGAUCUGACAGGAGGUGGAGCUCAGAAGAUAAUGCUCACUUUUCCACAGCUCACCUCUGCUGUGUAGCCCAGUUCCUAACAGGCUGCGGAACUUGCUGCCUUAAAGGAAAGGGCCCAGUCUUGCUAACUGAAGAGCCCUUGGGCCCUCUAUAAUGGUGAUACUCAGGUCAAAUACGAACUUUUAUAAUAAACAAUGAGACCAGAACAAUCAGCUAAACAACAGAUAACUCUGUGGGCCAGAAUGUUGGUCAGACCUACUUUUAAAAAGCCUAGAAACUCUUAAGCAGAUUUGUUUGGACGGUAAUUGUCAGGCCUCUGAGCCCAAGCUAAGCCAUCAUAUCCCCUGUGACCUGCACCUACACAUCCAGAUGGCCGGUUCCUGCCUUAACUGAUGACAUUCCACCACAAAAGAAGUGAAAAUGGCCUGUUCCUGCCUUAACUGAUGGCAUUAUCUUGUGAAAUUCCUUCUCCUGGCUCAUCCUGGCUCAAAAGCUCCCCUACUGAGCACCUUGGGACCCCCACUCCUGCCCGCCAGAAAACAACCCCCCUUUUUCCUUUACCUACCCAAAUCCUAUAAAAUGGCCCCACCCCUAUCUCCCU